AUGGAGAGAUACAGGGAGCAAAAGAAGGACUUGCAUAUGGUGUUCAUUGACUUGGAGAAGGCCUAUGAUAAGAUACCACGGAAUGUCAUGUGGUGGGCCUUGGAGAAACACAAAGUCCCAGCAACGUACAUUACCCUCAUCAAGGACAUGUACGAUAAUGUUGUGACAAGUGUUCGAACAAAUGAUGUCGACACUGAUGACUUCCCGAUUAAGAUAGGACUGCAUCAGAGGUCAGCUUUGAGCCCUUAUCUUUUUGCCUUGAUGAUGGAUGAGGUCACAAGGGAUAUACAAGGAGAUAUCCCAUGGUGUAUGCUCUUUGCGGAUGAUGUGGUGCUAGUUGACGAUAGUCGGACGGGGGUAAAUAGGAAAUUAGAGUUAUGGAGACAAAACUUGGAAUCGAAAGGGUUUAGGCUUAGUAGAACUAAAACCGAGUACAUGAUGUGCGCUUUCAAUACUACUAGGUGUGAGGAGGAGGUUAGCCUUGAUGGGCAGGUGGUACCUCAGAAUGACACCUUUCGAUAUUUGGGGUCAAUGUUGUAG
rnacentral:rRNA from 1 species